rnacentral:rRNA from 1 species
CAGCAGCCGCGGGAAUACGAAGGGUGCAAGCGUUAAUCGGAAUUACUGGGCGUAAAGCGUGCGUAGGCGGUGAGUUAAGUCUGCUGUGAAAUCCCCGGGCUCAACCUGGGAACUGCGCUUGUGACUGCACAGCUAGAGUAUGGCAGAGGGGGGUGGAAUUCCACGUGUAGCAGUGAAAUGCGUAGAGAUGUGGAGGAACACCGAUGGCGAAGGCAGCCCCCUGGGCCAAUACUGACGCUCAUGCACGAAAGCGUGGGGAGCAAACAGGAUUAGAUACCCGAGUAGUCCCUGUCUCUUAUAC